rnacentral:rRNA from 1 species
GCAUAACGCGAAGAACCUUACCUACUCUUGACAUCCAGAGAACUUAGCAGAGAUGCUUUGGUGCCUUCGGGAACUCUGAGACAGGUGCUGCAUGGCUGUCGUCAGCUCGUGUUGUGAAAUGUUGGGUUAAGUCCCGCAACGAGCGCAACCCUUAUCCUUUGUUGCCAGCGAUUCGGUCGGGAACUCAAAGGAGACUGCCAGUGAUAAACUGGAGGAAGGUGGGGAUGACGUCAAGUCAUCAUGGCCCUUACGAGUAGGGCUACACACGUGCUACAAUGGCAUAUACAAAGAGAAGCGACCUCGCGAGAGCAAGCGGACCUCAUAAAGUAUGUCGUAGUCCGGAUUGGAGUCUGCAACUCGACUCCAUGAAGUCGGAAUCGCUAGUAAUCGUGGAUCAGAAUGCCACGGUGAAUACGUUCCCGGGUCUUGUACACACCG